rnacentral:rRNA from 1 species
UACAGAGGGUGCGAGCGUUGUCCGGAAUCACUGGGCGUAAAGGGCGCGUAGGUGGUGGCUUAAGCGUGCGGUGAAAGCUCGGAGCUCAACUCCGAGUCGGCCGUGCGAACUGGGCUCACUGGAGCAUAGUAGAGGCAGGUGGAAUUCCGGGUGUAGCGGUGGAAUGCGUAGAUAUCGGAAGGAACAUCAGUGGCGAAAGCGACUUCCUGGACCAGUACCGACGUUCAGGCACGAAAGCGUGGGGAGCAAACAGG